CUGAUGAGAAUGGAGAGGAGGAGAGGAACGGGCUCAGGAGGAGGAGGAAUCCGAGAGAGAGCCUGACUCAGGCAGAGAAAGAGGCAGUGAGACAAGAGACAAAGGCACGGAGGCGCACUGGCGGACAGCAGAGGGAGGCACACAGGCAGAAGUCAGGGCGGGCCGAGUGGUGUCCACCCCCCAGGGUUCCUGACCCUUGCCCCUGGACAGCGACCCCUUCUCAGACUCCAGUUGGGCCGGACUCUCCAAACCUGCUUCCGCAAUGGGUGGGUUGUGAGUGCUGGUAAGACCUGCUAGCCAACAUUCAGCUGCUCUGUCCUCUCCAUGCCUGGCCGGCCCGGCCCAUGCCUGUUCUUUUCUCCCCUGUGCUGCCGCCGCCCGUGGCCGCCCCUCUCCUGAACUUACCGCCACUCAGGUAAUGAGGAGCCGUGGGUGCAGCCAGCCUUGGAGAUGCCGAAGAGACGGGACAUCCUAGCAAUCGUCCUCAUCGUGCUGCCCUGGACUCUGCUCAUCACCGUCUGGCACCAGAGCACCCUCGCACCCCUGCUCGCGGUACAUAAGGAUGAGGGCAGUGACCCCCGACGCGAAACGCCGCCCGGCGCCGACCCCAGGGAGUACUGCAUGUCUGACCGCGACAUCGUGGAGGUGGUGCGCACCGAGUACGUGUACACGCGGCCCCCGCCAUGGUCCGACACGCUGCCCACCAUCCACGUGGUGACGCCCACCUACAGCCGCCCGGUGCAGAAGGCCGA
rnacentral:sRNA from 1 species